GCGAAUAUAGUGUAAAGGUUAGCACGCAAGUUUUCCAAACUUGAAGUGAGAGUUCAAUUCUCUCUAUUCGCUCCA
rnacentral:tRNA from 1 species